UACGUAGGGUGCGAGCGUUAAUCGGAAUUACUGGGCGUAAAGCGUGCGCAGGCGGUUUUGUAAGCCAGAUGUGAAAUCCCCGGGCUUAACCUGGGAAUGGCAUUUGGGACUGCAAGGCUGGAGUGUGGCAGAGGAGACUGGAAUUCCCGGUGUAGCAGUGAAAUGCGUAGAUAUCGGGAGGAAUACCGAUGGCGAAGGCAGGUCUCUGGGCCGAUACUGACGCUGAGGAGCGAAAGCGUGGGGAGCGAACAGG
rnacentral:rRNA from 1 species